ACGAACUCCUACGGGAGGCAGCAGUGGGGAAUAUUGCACAAUGGGGGAAACCCUGAUGCAGCGACGCCGCGUGGAGGAAGAAGGUCUUCGGAUUGUAAACUCCUGUUGUUGAGGAAGAUAAUGACGGUACUCAACAAGGAAGUGACGGCUAACUACGUGC
rnacentral:rRNA from 1 species